rnacentral:rRNA from 1 species
AUGAAUGUCCUUGCCUGGAACUGUCGAUGCUUGGGGUUGGACUCGACAGUUGGCGAACUUCGUGACCUGGUUAGGUCCCACAACCCGGCGGUGGUUUUUCUGAGCGAGACAAAGAAGAGUGCAAAAGCGAUGGAGAAAUUGAAGUGGAGUUUGGGGUUCAGGAGCGGGGUGGCAGGGAGUUGUGUGGGUAGAAGUGGUGGUCUUGCUUUGUGG